AACGAACGCUGGCGGCAUGCCUAACACAUGCAAGUCGAACGAUGGUCUUCGGAUCAUAGUGGCGCACGGGUGCGUAACGCGUGGUAAUCUGCCCUUGGGUUCGGAAUAACAGUUGGAAACGACUGCUAAUACCGGAUGAUGUCGAUAAGACCAAAGAUUUAUCGCCCGAGGAUGAGCCCGCGUCGGAUUAGCUAGUUGGUGGGGUAAAGGCCUACCAAGGCGACGAUCCGUAGCUGGUCUGAGAGGAUGAUCAGCCACACUGGGACUGAGACACGGCCCAGACUCCUACGGGAGGCAGCAGUGGGGAAUAUUGGACAAUGGGCGCAAGCCUGAUCCAGCAAUGCCGCGUGAGUGAUGAAGGCCUUAGGGUUGUAAAGCUCUUUUACCCGGGAAGAUAAUGACUGUACCGGGAGAAUAAGCCCCGGCUAACUACGUG
rnacentral:rRNA from 1 species